ACUCCUACGGGAGGCAGCAGUGGGAAGUAUUGCACAAUGGGGGAAACCCUGAUGCAGCCAUGCCGCGUGUGUGAAGAAGGCCUUGGGUUGUAAAGCACUUUCAGUAGGGAGGAAGGUAGUGCAGUUAACACCUGCAUUAUUUGUACGUUACCUACAGAAGAAGCACCGGCUAACUCCGUGCCAGCAGCCGCGGUAAGUACGGAGGGUGCGAGCGUUAAUCGGAAUUACGUGGGCGUAAAGCGCAUGCAGGCGGCCUGUUAAGUCAGAUGUGAAAGCCCGGGGUCUUAACCUCGGAAUUGCAUUUGAAACUGGCAGGCUAGAGUCUUGUAGAGGGGUUAGAAUUUCAGGUGUAGCGGUGAAAUGCGUAGAGAUCUGAAGGAAUACCAGUGGCGAA
rnacentral:rRNA from 1 species